CUUUUGUUAGCACAAUUAAACUUUGAUGCGCACUUUUUGUCUCUUUUUGGAAGUUUUUUUUAUUUAUUUUUUUUUAUUAGAAACAGCAUUUUUCCCAACUUGUCCAAUAUACUACUAAAUGAAAGUCAUUAACAAACACUGACCUCAAUAAUUAUAAAGUCUUUAAUGAGAAACAUUUUAUCUCAUAAGAAAUUUAACUUUUUUUACUUACAGUAGUAGUAUGAAGCAAGCUCAAAAUAGCUUUUAUGGAGAAAAUUUGUUUGAAUUCAAAUGUUUUUGAGCAAAUAAUAAUAAUAAACAGCCUGGGAGUGCUGCUUGCGCAAAGCUUAACUCUAGUGUGAUUUUAUUUUUUAAAGCGCAAUUAAACUUUGAUACACACUUUUUGUCUGUUUUGUAUUUGUGUUUUUUGGCUCUUAAAAAUACAUUUUGACAGAUUCUGCAACAACACUCACACAGUCAUCUUGAAGAAUCCAUUUAAAACCCUGUGAAACUUGACAUGGACAGAGUUACGGUCAUCCCGAAGAAGAAUCCAUUGGAAGUUUCAUGUCAACUCUCAAGGAAUUGUAUUAAUGACAUUAGAAAAAGCAGGAAAUUAUCAGUGUAUUGAUGCAUACUGUAACUGGCAUCACAUCAUUAACAGUUACUGACCUUAUCUCAGUAAUUAUUAAUUUUCUCUUAAAAGAGAAACAUUUUAUCUCGUAAAAAGCCUGUAGAUAUUGGUAUUGUAGACUGUUGAUUUUAAGGUUUUGGACGGAAAUUAUCUUUAAUUUUCUCACAAAAUCUACAGUAAAAUAUCUUUGAAUUUAAUAUAACUGCAUUUUGUAAAAUAUCUAAUGUAAACAUAGUUUUUUUUUAAUAGGUUUGAUUUGUUAGUGGGCAAAUUUGAUGGAAACCGUUGAAAUACUGGGGUUCCUAAGCUUUUUGUCCGCUCCAAGUAUCCGUACCGUAAUUCAAGAAAUAGACGAGCAUCAAACUUCUGGCGGCGGCUCACUUGACCAGGUUUUCACAGAUGACGGCUCACUUGACCGCGGUCAACUGUGGUAGUGUUGGUUGAUUGGUGUUUAUAUUUGUUCAAGCUUGACAAACUUAUAGACUUUAUUUUCUAAUAUAUAUUUCUCAUUACAGAUAAGAACAAAGAUUAAAUUGUAAGAAGGGUUGCUUAUAAGAGCAUACAGUACAUCUGAAACUGCUGAGGCUGGUAAGGUUUUUGACUAUAUUUCCGACCAGGUACAUUGUUCUGUCAUUCUUAAAUAGAAAACAAAUCAUCAAUCAUCAUUUGCCUUUUUUUGUGCGUGUGAGAAAUAUUAACAUUUUGUUUUUUUUCAGAUCCGCUGCUAUAGAAGACAAACUGAAAUCUGAGUGCAGAGACAAGCAAAGGAAUAGCACUUGUGCAAAAUAUUGUAUGCCUUCGCCACAUCCUGCCAUCAUCCCGCACCUUUGCCUCUCACCAUCCCUACGCCAUCUCCUCGUCCACCUCCAAAACCCCUCCAUCCCUCCCUAUUCUGUUGCUUGAACUUUAUCAUCUUCAGUCUUUGCACACACAUCUAUUCACUUCUGCACUUUGUUUUUCAGUAAUUUUUUGUUUUUUUUUCUUUAGAAAAUUGCAUUGUAAUUUGUAUUUAUUCAUUGAUGUAAAAUUAUGUACUUUUCAGUAAUACAGCUAUAACUAAAAUGUUCUACAAAUGGAUAAGAUAGCUCUGCCAUAGCAUUUCAGUCUUUUUUUCAUUUAUGUUUUUGUAUAAUGUUUUAAAAUGUACUUGAGUAUGUUGUUAAUGGUAUAUUUAAUAGUAUGUUUUUUGUUUUUCACCAAAGUAUAUACGCUGCUGUACUUUUUAAAUGUACUUUAUCAAUAUUUGUAAUGUACACAAUAUAUAAUACAUUAAAGUU